rnacentral:rRNA from 1 species
ACGGAAGGCAGCAGUGGGGAAUAUUGGACAAUGGGGGAAACCCUGAUCCAGCGACGCCGCGUGAGUGAAGAAGUAUUUCGGUAUGUAAAGCUCUAUCAGCAAGGAAGAAAAUGACGGUACUUGACUAAGAAGCCCCGGCUAACUACGUGCCAGCAGCCGCGGUAAUACGUAGGGGGCAAGCGUUAUCCGGAUUUACUGGGUGUAAAGGGAGCGUAGACGGCAUAGCAAGUCUGAAGUGAAAUGUAGGGGCUUAACCCCUGAACUGCUUUGGAAACUGUUAGGCUUGAGUACCGGAGGGGCAGGCGGAAUUCCUGGUGUAGCGGUGAAAUGCGUAGAUAUCAGGAAGAACACCGGUGGCGAAGGCGGCCUGCUGGACGGUAACUGACGUUGAGGCUCGAAAGCGUGGGGAGCAAACAGGAUUAGAUACCUUGGUA